rnacentral:sRNA from 1 species
GCCGGGCGCGGCGGCGCAUGCCUGGAAUCCUGGCGGCUGGGGAGGCUGAGGCAGGAGGAUCUCGAGUUCAAAGCCAGCAUCAGCAACAGCAAGAUGCUAAGCAACUCGAUGAGACCCUGUCUCUA